AUGUGGCCAUCAAUUUCUCUCCAGAGGAGUGGGAAUGUCUGGACCUCGGUCAACGGGACCUGUACAGAGAUGUGAUGAUAGAGAUCUGUAGGCACCUGGUCUCCUUGGAGUAUGUUAUCUCUAAGCCAGACCUGGUUCGCCUGUUGGAACAAAAGACAGAUCCCUGGGAUGUGAAGGGAAUGGAGACAGUAGCCAUACAGCCAGGGAGGAUUCUCUCUCACAUCCACAUGGAGAGCCAGAAUCCUGGUCUUGACCUGUGAGGACCUGAAU